AAAAGGUAACACAGAGCAGCACAUCAGCAUGUAUUUUUUCUCGACAUGGUAAUUUAUCUUGAUAGGCAUUUCGCAUCGGAAGGCUUUUCAAAGCUGCAUGCUUUUUUCUUUUUUCUUUUUUGGCUUCGUUUGACUGAGGAGCCCAUGAAUCUUGAAAGGGUGCUGCUAUGACAUCUUUCAUCAAAAAACUGACAUGGACAUCUGAUGGUCUGAGUCUUUUUCUGUGUAUGCUUCACCUUCAUCUUCUGGAGGUCAGUUUGAUAGCGCCAAUGUUCUUGGAAAGGAAAUGGAACCUCCUUGGAUGUUGCAACAUAUAGUAACUAUCUAGGGGCAGUUCCAGUCAGUGGUAGUGGAGAUGAGAGGUCUGCGUGGACACCUGUACUCUGUGAAAUGUUCAAGGCUCUCUGCUCUCCCCAUUUCUCCUAACAUCUGCAUGAAACCGCUGGGUCAGCAUGGGGCCAAGUAUCAUCAGUAUGCUGAUGAGAUCCCAUUGUGUAUUGUAAUGCUGUAUCAAACAUUAUGUUGUCCAACUGAAAUCUCAUAUUUUUCCACCCCUUUCCCCAAAUAUAUGUUACAAAAUAAUAUCAUUUGCUGUUGUUUUAUCUAACAACCGGUUCUGAUAUUCAUUCUCCAUUUUAGUUCCCUCUAAAUAAUGAAAGAAAUUAGUUUAGAGACAGAAUCUGCCAUUGCAACUCGGCCCUGUCAGAAACAAGACGGGAAAUCCCCAUAUUGGGAGCUGCCUCGUGUGUGCUCUUUUGCACUCUUGCAGUUCUGUGCCGCUAAACUUAUAAUUAACACGAGGAAUAUCACCUGAAGCUAAGUUUUUUUAAAAAAAAAAAAAGAAAGGAAAGGAAAAGGGCAAAACUAGCUGCCCUACUGGAAAGAUUUUUAAAUUCAAAUUGAGAGUCUGGGGAGAUUUUUCAAUCAUCCAAGUCAUGAUUGUCACAAAGAUGCUUUUUUCAAAAGGCAACUGAACUUUUUUUUUCUUUGAAAAUGUUUCACUUCUCAUCCAAGAAGCUUUCUUCAGUUCUUUUCCUUUCCUUUCCUUACAGUUUCCCUUAGGAAAUAGCACUUUGGGGAUAUUCAAUUUGAGGACAGUAAUUCAUGAUUAUCAAAAAGUUGGUAUGGGAGAUAACCGCAUACUGAGUCAUUUCUAUAACCAGAGCCGACUCCUCUAUGUCCUUCAUCCUGUUAAUAUUUGUAUACAUCUUUCCUCUGGGAAACCAAGCAGGGCUUACACUGAGGUAGGUUGAGCGGAUAG